rnacentral:rRNA from 1 species
UACAGAGGUCCCGAGCGUUGUUCGGAUUCACUGGGCGUAAAGGGUGCGUAGGUGGCUUGAAAAGUUUGAUGUGAAAGCUCAGGGCUUAACCCUGAAAUGGCAUUGAAUACUGUCGAGCUGGAGGUUUGGAGGGGGGACUGGAAUUCUUGGUGUAGCAGUGAAAUGCGUAGAUAUCAAGAGGAACACCAGUGGCGAAGGCGGAUCUCUGGGCCUUACCUGACGCUCAGGUACGAAAGCUAGGGGAGCGAACAGG